UACAGAGGGGGCAAGCGUUGUUCGGAAUUACUGGCGUAAGGGCGCGUAGGCGGCCUUCUAAGUCGAACGUGAAAUCCCUGGGCUCAACCCAGGAACUGCUCCGAUACUGGAAGGCUUGAAUCCGGGAGAGGGAUGCGGAAUUCCAGGUGUAGCGGUGAAAUGCGUAGAUAUCUGGAGGAACACCGGUGGCGAAGGCGGCGACCUGGGUAGAUACUGACGCU
rnacentral:rRNA from 1 species